UUGGGGUUAUCCCAUAACCCUAUAGGGUUUGAUCAAAUCAAACUCAUAAUGAGUCAAAUUAAAUCUAAUCAAAUUAAACUUAAUACAAGCCCUAUUGCUUAAUUAAAUUGAACCAAUUAGCAAUCUUAUUGCUAAUUAAUCCUCCUAUAACUUACUAAUUCUUUAGUAAGUUACAUAAUGCAAUAUUUAUAUUAGAUCAAUUAUCAAUCAAAUUGAUAAUCAAAUCCUAUUACGAUUCAUAAUCAUAAUUUAACCAUCUAAUCAGUCAAAAAUCUCUUUUGUGUGUGUCUCUAUAGGUUUUAUUCUGUCUGCUAGUGAGAUAUAUUGU
rnacentral:lncRNA from 1 species